GCCUUCGUCCCUUUGGUCGAGGUGCCGGUCUGGCAUCACAGUGGGUAGUUGCGGUCAUCCCUCGGACGUGCCGAGGCAUCCAGUGUGACCCGUUCCGCACGGAAGGUUGUGGCGCUAGGUGAAGCCUUCACGGGCAUAUCCUUAGCACGAAGGGGGCAAGUUCCCAAUCAUCCGGAAGUGCACUAUGGGCGGUUCAUCAUGGUCGAAGCCAAGGCGCGGCCGUGUUUGACGCGAUCAGCAACGUCUCUCCAGUCGC